UAAUACGUAGGGGGCGAGCGUUGUCCGGAUUUACUGGGCGUAAAGCGCGUGUAGGCGGCUUGUUAAGUCGGGUGUGAAAGCCCGGGGCUCAACCCCGGGAUGCCGCCCGAGACUGGGAAGCUUGAGGACGGAAGAGGGGCGUGGAAUUCCUGGUGUAGCGGUGAAAUGCGUAGAGAUCAGGAGGAACACCCGUGGCGAAGGCGGCGCCCUGGUCCGUCCCUGACGCUGAGACGCGAAAGCGCGGGGAGCGAACGGGAUUAGAUACCCCGGUAGUCCGCGCCGUAAACGAUGGUCACUAGGUGUGCGUGGUAUCGACCCCACGCGUGCCGCCGCUAACGCAGUAAGUGACCCGCCUGGGGAGUACGGCCGCAAGGUUG
rnacentral:rRNA from 1 species